UACCUGCAGCUCGAGUGGUAACCGCUAUUAUUGGGCCUAAAGCGUCCGUAGCCGGUUUGGUAAAUAUCUGGGUAAAUCGUGAGGCUUAACUUCACGAAUUUCGGAUAGACUGCCAGACUUGGGAUCGGGGGAGGUCAGAGGUACUCCAGGGGUAGCGGUGAAAUGUUGUAAUCCUUGGAGGACCACCGGUAGCGAAGGCGUCUGACUAGAACGAGUCCGACGGUGAGGGACGAAGCCCUGGGGCGCAAACCGGAUUAGAUACCCGGGUAGUCCAGGGUGUAGACGAUGUGGGCUUUGUAUUGGAGGUCCCACGUGGGCGUCCAGUGCAGAAGAGAAGUUGUUAAGCCCACCGCCUGGGAAGUACGGUCGCAAGGCUGAAACUUAAAGGAAUUGGCGGGGGAGCACAGCAACGGGAGGAGCGUGCGGUUU
rnacentral:rRNA from 1 species